GGACCCGCACAAGCGGUGGAGCAUGUGGUUUAAUUCGAAGCAACGCGAAGAACCUUACCAACUCUUGACAUCCCCCUGACCGGUACAGAGAUGUAUCUUCCCCUUCGGGGGCAGGGGUGACAGGUGGUGCAUGGUUGUCGUCAGCUCGUGUCGUGAGAUGUUGGGUUAAGUCCCGCAACGAGCGCAACCCUUGUCCUUAGUUGCCAGCAUUCAGUUGGGCACUCUAGGGAGACUGCCGGUGACAAACCGGAGGAAGGUGGGGAUGACGUCAAAUCAUCAUGCCCCUUAUGAGUUGGGCUACACACGUGCUACAAUGGACGGUACAAAGGGCAGCGAAGCCGCGAGGUGGAGCCAAUCCCAGAAAGCCGUUCUCAGUUCGGAUUGCAGGCUGCAACUCGCCUGCAUGAAGUCGGAAUCGCUAGUAAUCGCAGGU
rnacentral:rRNA from 1 species